rnacentral:tRNA from 1 species
GGAUUUGUAGCUCAGUUGCUAAGUACUUGGCUACUAAGCAAAAAGCCCUGGGUUCAACCCCCAACAGAUACA